GCGAACGGGUGAGUAACACGUGAGUAACCUGCCCUUGACUUUGGGAUAACUUCAGGAAACUGGGGCUAAUACCGGAUAGGAGCUCCUGCUGCAUGGUGGGGGUUGGAAAGUUUCGGCGGUUGGGGAUGGACUCGCGGCUUAUCAGCUUGUUGGUGGGGUAGUGGCUUACCAAGGCUUUGACGGGUAGCCGGCCUGAGAGGGUGACCGGCCACAUUGGGACUGAGAUACGGCCCAGACUCCUACGGGAGGCAGCAGUGGGGAAUAUUGCACAAUGGGCGGAAGCCUGAUGCAGCAACGCCGCGUGCGGGAUGACGGCCUUCGGGUUGUAAACCGCUUUCGCCUGUGACGAAGCGUGAGUGACGGUAAUGGGUAAAGAAGCACCGGCUAACUACGUGCCAGCAGCCGCGGUGAUACGUAGGGUGCGAGCGUUGUCCGGAUUUAUUGGGCGUAAAGGGCUCGUAGGUGGUUGAUCGCGUCGGAAGUGUAAUCUUGGGGCUUAACCCUGAGCGUGCUUUCGAUAC
rnacentral:rRNA from 1 species